AGGACGACGCUGGGCGGCGUGCUUAACACAUGCAAGUCGAACGGAAAGGCCUGCAGCUUGCUGCGGGUACUCGAGUGGCGAACGGGUGAGUAACAUGUGGGUGAUCUGCCUUGCACUUCGGGAUAAGCUUGGGAAACUGGGUCUAAUACCGGAUAGGACAGCUGUUUAGUGUCAGUUGUGGAAAGUUUUUUCGGUGCAAGAUGAGCUCGCGGCCUAUCAGCUUGUUGGUGGGGUAAUGGCCUACCAAGGCGUCGACGGGUAGCCGGCCUGAGAGGGUGUACGGCCACAUUGGGACUGAGAUACGGCCCAGACUCCUACGGGAGGCAGCAGUGGGGAAUAUUGCACAAUGGGCGGAAGCCUGAUGCAGCGACGCCGCGUGGGGGAUGAAGGCCUUCGGGUUGUAAACUCCUUUCGACAGGGACGAAGCGUAAGUGACGGUACCUGUAUAAGAAGCACCGGCUAACUACGUGCCAGCAGCCGCGGUAAUACGUAGGGUGCGAGCGUUGUCCGGAAUUACUGGGCGUAAAGAGCUCGUAGGUGGUUUGUCGCGUCGUCUGUGAAAUUCCGGGGCUUAACUCCGGGCGUGCAGGCGAUACGGGCUGACUUGAGUGCUGUAGGGGAGACUGGAAUUCCUGGUGUAGCGGUGAAAUGCGCAGAUAUCAGGAGGAACACCGAUGGCGAAGGCAGGUCUCUGGGCAGUAACUGACGCUGAGGAGCGAAAGCAUGGGUAGCGAACAGGAUUAGAUACCCUGGUAGUCCAUGCCGUAAACGGUGGGCGCUAGGUGUAGGGGGCUUCCACGUCUUCUGUGCCGCAGCUAACGCAUUUAGCGCCCCCGCCUGGGGGAGUACGGCCGCAAGG
rnacentral:rRNA from 1 species